UCGAACGAGCGAGAGAGAGCUUGCUUUCUCGAGCGAGUGGCGAACGGGUGAGUAACGCGUGAGGAACCUGCCUCAAAGAGGGGGACAACAGUUGGAAACGACUGCUAAUACCGCAUAAGCCCACAGGUCGGCAUCGACCAGAGGGAAAAGGAGCAAUCCGCUUUGAGAUGGCCUCGCGUCCGAUUAGCUAGUUGGUGAGGUAAUGGCCCACCAAGGCAACGAUCGGUAGCCGGACUGAGAGGUUGAACGGCCACAUUGGGACUGAGACACGGCCCAGACUCCUACGGGAGGCAGCAGUGGGGAAUAUUGCACAAUGGGGGAAACCCUGAUGCAGCGACGCCGCGUGGAGGAAGAAGGUCUUCGGAUUGUAAACUCCUGUUGUUGAGGAAGAUAAUGACGGUACUCAACAAGGAAGUGACGGCUAACUACGUGCCAGCAGCCGCGGUAAAACGUAGGUCACAAGCGUUGUCCGGAAUUACUGGGUGUAAAGGGAGCGCAGGCGGGAAGACAAGUUGGAAGUGAAAUCUAUGGGCUCAACCCAUAAACUGCUUUCAAAACUGUUUUUCUUGAGUAGUGCAGAGGUAGGCGGAAUUCCCGGUGUAGCGGUGGAAUGCGUAGAUAUCGGGAGGAA
rnacentral:rRNA from 1 species